rnacentral:rRNA from 1 species
UUAGAUUUUAUUUAUUAACUUUUUUAUUGUUGUCAUAAAUUAUUAAAAAUAAUUUUAAAGUUAAUUGUUUAAGUAGUUUUUAAUGAAUAAAUAAUUUUUAUUAUAUUGUAUUAGUAACGUGAGUGAAUAUUGAAAUAUUUUGAAAAAUUUUUAUUUUAAAAGAAGACUUUAUUUGUUGUACCUUGUGUAUCAGGGUUUAUUAAAUAAACAAUAAUUAUUUAUUUUUCUCGAUUUUAUAAGAGUUAAUAGUUUAUUAAAGUUAAUGUAUCAGAAUUAUUUUAAAUAGACUAUUAGUAAUGAAAUGUUAUUCGUUUAUAAAGGUAUCUAGUUUUUUUAGAAAUAAAUUUAAUUUAGCAGUUUAGAUUUUUUAUUUAUUUAUAUUAGGUAAAAAUUUUUGUUUCUGUAAUCUUUCAGGGGAUAAGCUUUGAAAGAGAUUGUUAAAAGUUGGUAAAUAUUUUAUUAAAUGUAUGUAUAGAAUUUGCAAUCAUUGUUAAGUUUGUUAUUAAUUAUUAUUUUGUUAAUAUUAUUUAUUAAUCUUUAAUUUUUUAUAAAAAUAUUUAUUUUAAUUGUAAAAGUUAAGUAAUAAUGAUAAAAUUAGUAUAUUUUGUUGUAUUUAUAAUUUUAUUUGGAAGGUUUAUGUAAAGAAUUCGGCAAAUUUUAUGCCCGCCUGUUUAACAAAAACAUGUCUUUUUGUGUUAUUUUUAAAGUCUGACCUGCCCAAUGAAUAAUUUUGAAUGGCCGCAGUAUACUAACUGUGCAAAGGUAGCAUAAUCAUUAGUCUUUUAAUUGAAGGCUGGUAUGAAUGGUUGGACGAGGUAUAAACUGUUUCAUUUAAAUUUUUGAUAGAAUUUUAUAUUUUAGUCAAAAAGCUAAAAUUUUUUUAAAAGACGAGAAGACCCUAUAAAUCUUUAUAUUUUAUUUUAUUUAAGUUUUUUGGAUUUUUUUUAUUUUUAUAAAAUAAAGUAUUUUAUUGGGGUGAUAUUAAAAUUUAAUUAACUUUUAAUUGUUUUGUUCAUUGAUUUAUGUUUAGUUGAUCCGUUAUUAGUGAUUAUAAGUUUAAGUUACUUUAGGGAUAACAGCGUAAUUUUUUUGGAGAGUUCAUAUCGAUAAAAAAGAUUGCGACCUCGAUGUUGGAUUAAGAUAUAAUUUUGGGUGUAGCCGCUUAAAUUUUGAGUCUGUUCGACUUUUAAAUUCUUACAUGAUCUGAGUUCAGACCGGCGUGAGCCAGGUUGGUUUCUAUCUUUAAUAAGAUUUAAUAUUUUAGUACGAAAGGACCAAAUAUUAGAAUUAUUUAAUUUUUGUUAAGAAUACGAUUAAUU